AUGGCCGUGGCGUGGAACGACGGGGCAGCGGGAACCAAGUGGCUGAAGCACUACUCCUCAGCGCAGAGCAUCCUGGUCGUCGGCGACGGGGACUUCUCCUUCUCGCUGGCGCUCGCCACCGCCUUCGGCUCCGGCGCGAACCUCGUCGCCACGUCCCUCGACUCCUACGCGGAACUGAACAUCAAGUACAGCGACGGGACAUCCAACGUGGCGAAGCUUGAGGCGAUGGGCGCCACGGUGCUACACGGCGUCGACGUGAAAGAUAUGAAUCUCCACGCCAAUCUGCAGCUGAGAUGGUUCGAUCGGAUCGUCUUCAACUUCCCUCACGCCGGGUUCAAUGGACGCGAGGACAAAGUGGAUGUGAUCAAGUCGCACCAGGAGCUGGUGAGGAGCUUCUUCGCCACCGCCCGGCACAUGCUCUGGCGUCACGGCGAGAUCCACGUCACCCACAAGACCAAGCACCCCUACUCGAUGUGGGGUAUCGAGCAGCUGGCCUCUCAGUCCUCGCUCGCUAUGGUCGAGCAAGCUGCCUUUCAGAUACAAGACUACCCUGGCUAUAACCAGAAGAGAGGGUCGAGCUGGAGGUGCGACCAAGACUUCCCUAUAGGUGAUUCCUUCACCUUCAAGUUCUGCUUGGGAUGA
rnacentral:rRNA from 1 species